GAAAUGCGAUAAGUAGUGUGAAUUGCAGAAUUCAUUGAAUCAUCGAAUCUUUGAACGCACAUUGCGCCCUUUGGUAUUCCUUAGGGCAUGCCUGUUCGAGCGUCAUCUAAACCUUCAAGCCCUGCUUGGUGUUGGGUGCCUGUCCCGCCUCCGCGCGCGGACUCACCUCAAAUCCAUUGGCGGCCCCCGCGUCGGCCACGAGCGCAGCAGAAACGCGAACUCGUGAGCCCGUCCGGGCGGCUCCCAGAAGCUACACCCACCCAGUUUGACCUCGGAUCAGGUAGGGAUACCCGCUGAACUUAAGC
rnacentral:misc_RNA from 1 species